AAAGGCACUGAAAUAACUGUUUUCGUGCACUGAGUGAUUUCGCCAUUUGACCUAGCUGUUUUGACUGACAGGAUAGAAAUAUAGGAACAAACUGCUCGUGCUUCUAGAAUUGAAUUUGUGUACACAGAGGAAUUGUCAUUAAAGGCACUGUAGACCCACAAGUCAUGCAUUAGACAAUGUGCAUCAGUUUGAUGAAAGCGUUGACAGAUGUGGAUGCCGCAUGUGGCCACUUUUGAUGCCAACUGCACUUUGAAACGCCGAACAUAUUGUCACGACCAAAAACUUUUCAGAUCCACGCCUACGCAACUGCCACCUCGGCGCAGAACUGCCAGCUUCGCCCGAGCUCGGUCGAACGGUUCUCCCAGCGAACAGAAAAUACAACAAAAAGGACGACAGAAGCGAACCACCCACGUCUUCCCAGUAAGAUAUUCCUGUCCUGUCCUAGAGAGCUUCAGACGAUGCGUCUUCUGUUUUUUCCAUCUACAGCUCCGUAUGAGGAAGAGACCCUGCACCAGGAGAGCUCUAGUGCCGCUAGUCACAGAGAUGAAGGACUGUGGUGAUGUUGACAGCUUUGGACCUUCUCUGCCGCAGUCGGAGAUGCCAAAAUGUCCUCCCGUUGGUUCAGUGAGCGGCUCGCUUUCCCCACCUGCGGCGAUCUCUCUCUCUCUCUCUCUCUCUCUCUCUCUCUCUCUCUCUCUCUCUCUCUCUCUCUCUUUCUUUUCUCUCUCUCUCUCUCUCCCUCUCCCUCUCCCGCGCGGGGUUUUCAGAACUGCGGCGUUUUGUUGAUUUGCGACAGGAACGAAGGCCCCGUGUGGUCCCCAGGUUUUGAUCCGAAGGAGUGUGCGGGUAAUUGCCUUUAAAUUAGGGUGACUGGCACAGGAACAUGUACCUGCUGUUGCAGCUUAAGAGGCUGAAUGACAGGUUGGUGGAGGGCCUUUGACUGGAUCUAUGAGAACAUUCAUUGUGUGUAAAAGCUCUGUCUCCAAAAAAAAAAAAAGAGGGCAUGGGUGGAUUUUGUGGUUCGUGGUAGCUUACUGAAAACAGUAUGAACUUAUUUUUUCAUUUUUGGCCACAUUCUAACUUACAAAAUCGCUUCUGGGGGAAAAAAACGUGAUUUAGGACCUAAGUAUGAGCAAGAAUGUAUUGUGCUGGUGAAUGCUGUUGAAAAAUUGUGCUGUUGACCAGUUUAUAUCAUGAAAUAAACAACACCCGAAUAUUCUUGCAUAUACUGUCAUAGAUAAACAGCGCUGACCAUUUUAUCUUAACAAGCCAAGCAUAGAUAGUUAUUUUAUAAUGGCUUUCUGGCCUUAACGAUGAUUGGAAAUCCUGGCACUGUGAGAUUAUCGAGCCAAUUAGUAAAGAGUUCUCUUUAAUGCAUAGUAGAAUACUGAUGUUGGAUGUUUUACAGAAGUGUAAAUUAAUUCCACAUUCAUGUGUACAGUUGAUAAAGGAUGAUAAAAUUCAAUGUUAGGGAACAUGCUUGUAUAUAUGCAGUCACAAAUGAAGAAUAAAAAUUGAGAGGUUGUUAAUAUGACAGUAUUUUAUUUAGUAACUUUUGAACUCCAUAAUGGUUACAUCAAAUCAUAAGAAUGGAAUAAGAACGGUCAUUACCAGUCAUGACAACAUAUUAGGGCUUUUGACAGACCGUUACAAUAUAUUCAACGAUUUGUUUUGUCGGUUUUUAAAAAUAUUUUGUAAAAUUUGCUGCAUACACUAUGGUACUGUAAUGACACUUGCCAUGAACUGUAGUACAUAGCCAUAGCUGGUUAUGUCAGGUGUUAUGUCAUGUGUAUGGUAGCAUUAUGGACGCUUCAUUGCAUAGAAUUCAAAGAAAAUGUUGCUGUUGUUUUUGUUUCAUCUGCAUUUGGUGAGAGAGAAUCGUUUC